AGGGGAAUAUUGGACAAUGGGCGCAAGCCUGAUCCAGCCAUGCCGCGUGAGUGAUGAAGGCCUUAGGGUUGUAAAGCUCUUUCAGUGGGGACGAUAAUGACGGUACCCGCAGAAGAAGCCCCGGCUAACUUCGUGCCAGCAGCCGCGGUAAUACGAAGGGGGCUAGCGUUGUUCGGAAUCACUGGGCGUAAAGGGCGCGUAGGCGGCUUUGUAAGUCGGGGGUGAAAGCCUGUGGCUCAACCACAGAAUUGCCUUCGAUACUGCAUGGCUUGAGACCGGAAGAGGUUAGUGGAACUGCGAGUGUAGAGGUGAAAUUCGUAGAUAUUCGCAAGAACACCAGUGGCGAAGGCGGCUGACUGGUCCGGUUCUGACGCUGAGGCGCGAAAGCGUGGGGAGCAAACAGG
rnacentral:rRNA from 1 species